CUUUAAUAAAAAAUCUCAUCCUCAAAUCACUACCUUCUCUCCCUCUCCUUCUUCCUUUUCCCCCAUUCUCAUCCGCUUUCAAACCUCACAUAGAGCUUCCAAUUUUUUUCCUUUUCGACCUCACCCACUUACAUCUCUGUGAGAUUCAUGCCAGAAACCGGCACCUAAGCCAUUUUCACCGUCACGCCGAACCUCACGCUAUUCUUACUGGUUUCUCUCUCAGAUCGUUGUUGUUUGUUCGCGUAUACAUCAGAGCAUGAAAUUUCCUCUCUCAAUCUCUCAUUCACGUUCCUACCUUUCUCAAUGUCUGAAGCUUCUCAGCCGUAGCACUCUUCGCCACUCCGAUCAUCGCAACCCGCAACCUCCCUCCGGCGACGAGACGACUCAGGUAUCUUCUUGAUGGCGUUUGUUCCCUAAUUUUCAUCUUCACAAGCACCCUGGCUGCCCUCAUCGCCAUCUCAGUUGUUCGACAAAAAUAUAAACCAAGUGUAAUGGUCGUAUCUGAUUCUUCUGCAGGUUAAGCAUGCUCGCAGGUGUUCGGGCUGGCUCUUCAAGUUAGAAAGCUGAAAGAAAUUAUGAGCAGUGAAGCCAAGUAAGGAAAGAAGGAUCUAAAUUCUAAGGUAAACUUUUUUAACGUGACAGGAAAAACAUUGGUAAUGUUUGCAUGUUGUUAACUCCAUAGUUCAUGGUAAUGCUUUGUUAAGUGUUCUAAUGGUGCUUAUUUGUUCAUACUAAAAUAUUGUUCAUACUUAUAUAUUUAAUUUUCAAUGUAUUUUUCAUGCAUGGAGCCAGUUACUUCUUAUUUCUUUUGUGGAUUAGGGUUUUUGGGUGGCGCAUGUGUGAGAUUGAUGCCACUUGGAGGAGGUAUGACACCUGAGAGGUCGUGGAUAGUGAUGGUUUUCUAUGAUACUUAUUAAGGUUGUCUUUUUUCUCCUCUAGGUUAUCCAUUCACUUAUCAUAUGUGACUAUUGAAGAAGGCCAAGCUUCACAUGGAGAAGCAUUAACCAGGCAGCAUGGCUACUGAAGAAAGAGGGCCUCUGGCGUAUUGGAAGUGAGCAGUCUGUACACAUUUGGGAGGACAACUGGCUGUUGGGACAAAAUGGUUACAGAAUAUGGAGUCCAAGACCAGCAGAUGGAGAAAUCAAAUUUGUGCAACAGUUGAUUCAAGAGAACCCCAGAAGAUGGAAUGUUCAGUGUCUAAGAAGGUACUUUCUCUCCAGCAAAUUCCUCUUUUAGAGCUCUAUCAGAGAGAUAAGUUCAUGUAGGGACCAGCAAAAAAUGGAAUUUAUAGAGUGAAAUCGGGGUACUACCACACCAAAAAAAGGGAGACAAACCAGCAUGGAAGUGUUUCAAACUUGACAAGCAGCUCAGAAUUGUACAAACAAGUGUGGAAUCUUAAAAUCAUGCCUAGACAAGCACAGUUUGUUUGGAGAGUUAUGAAAAAAACUCUUCCUGUUAAAUCCAAACUCAGAAACAAAGGGGUUCCGUGCGACAUGGUGUGCCCGAGGUGUAAUGAAGAAGAAGAAGAAAUUAUAGAUCAUGCUCUCAGGGACUGCAUUUGGGUUAGAAGACUGUGGUUCACUUCCCCCUUGGGAAUCAGGUUUGAGCAGUUUGGAACAAUCUCCUUCAUUUAUUGGCUCACAUAUAUUUUGUUAAAAAAACCUCAAGAAAUUAAAGAACUUAUUUAUGUCAUGACUCACCAAAUCUGGUUUGCAAGGAAUAAACUGUGCUUUGAUGAUAAAGAGAUAGAAUUGAUUUGUGUGAUUAGGAGAGCUGUAUCUGGUUUUCAGGAAUACCAACAAGGUCUGUGACGUCAAGAUAUCAAUGGAGGUGAUAUACAAUUUCCCCUAAGGAACCAAAAUGAUCCUACUGCUGUUCCCUUGCAACCAAAAUGGAAACCACCACCAGUGGGAGUCUAUAAGCUGAAUGUGGAUGUGGCUGGUCCUGUUGACAACAAAUGGGGUGCUGGUAUAAUUAUUAGAGAUGAACAGGGGAAGGUGUAUGGCUGCUGCAACCAGAUGUUUCUCAUCAAUACAGGAUGCGGCAACUGCUAAGGCUUUGGGACUGCGAUUUGCGGUGGAAACUGGUUUCAGAAAUCUGGAAACUGAAAUGGAUUGCUUAGAGGUGGUGCAUUCCUUUAACAACUCCAACAACAGAAGCUCUCAUUCCUAUCUUAGUGCUGUUUUGGAUGAUUGUAAACAUUUAAAAACCUGUUUCCUCUUCUUUUGUUUAAAUCAUGUUAGUAGGAACCUUAACUCAGCUACUCAUUUUCUAGCUAAAUUCUCCUUAUCUCAUGUCAAUCAAGAGUGGAUAGAGGACACUCCCAGUUGUAUUA